UACGUAGGGGGCAAGCGUUGUCCGGAUUUAUUGGGCGUAAAGAGCGUGUAGGCGGCUGGGUAGGUCCGUUGUGAAAACUCGAGGCUCAACCUCGAGACGCCGAUGGAAACCCUCCAGCUAGAGUCCGGAAGAGGAGAGUGGAAUUCCUGGUGCAGCGGUGAAAUGCGCAGAUAUCAGGAGGAACACCGGUGGCGAAGGCGGAUCUCUGGGCCGAUACUGACGCUGAGGAGCGAAAGCGUGGGGAGCGAACAGG
rnacentral:rRNA from 1 species